CCUACGGGAGGCAGCAGUGGGGAAUAUUGCGCAAUGGGCGAAAGCCUGACGCAGCGACGCCGCGUGAGGGAUGAAGGUCUUCGGAUCGUAAACCUCUGUUAGCAGGGAAGAACGGUCACUGUGCUAAUCAGCAGUGAAUUGACGGUACCUGCAAAGGAAGCACCGGCUAACUACGUGCCAGCAGCCGCGGUAAUACGGAGGGUGCGAGCGUUAAUCGGAAUUACUGGGCGUAAAGCGCUCGUAGGGUGUAUGUCAAGUCAGGGGUUAAAUCCCCGGGCUCAACGUGGGGACUGCCUUUGAAACUGGCAAACUAGAGUGUGAGAGAGGAUAGUGGAAUUCCAGGUGUAGGAGUGAAAUCCGUAGAUAUCUGGAAGAACAUCAGUGGCGAAGGCGGCUAUCUGGCACUUAACUGACGCUGAGGAGCGAAAGCGUGGGUAGCAAACAGGAUUAGAUACCCGAGUAGUC
rnacentral:rRNA from 1 species